GCUAAGUCGGGAAUGGAUAAACGCUGAAAGCAUCUAAGCGUGAAGCCAACCUCAAGAUGAGAUUUCCCAUAGCGUAAGCUAGUAAGAUCCCUUGAAGAACACAAGGUUGAUAGGUCGGGGGUGUAAGCAUGGUAACAUGUUCAGCUGACCGAUACUAAUAGAUCGAGGGCUUGACCAAAUA
rnacentral:rRNA from 1 species